rnacentral:tRNA from 1 species
GGUGGCUCAGUAGUAGAGUACUUGCCUUGCAUGCAUGAGGUCCUGGGUUUGAUUCCUCAGCACCA